rnacentral:misc_RNA from 1 species
GCUGUGUGAAAUAUUUAAUUAAAAAUAAGAAACAUGAAAUCCUGAGUGGAAGUGCCGCACAGAAAUUUCUGCUUCACCUACAGAUUUUCAAUGUGAAAGAACUAGAAUAAGAUCGGUUGAUUGUGAAGUGUAGAAAAGGAAAAGUGCACAGGAAGGGUGGAUCAUUUGGACAAAACUGCAUAACGUAUCAAUGUUUGAUAAAAUUGUGCAAAACCUGAUAAGAAAUGAACAUGAUCAUUGGACCUCAUAGUUUAUUGAUUCAAAGCUAAAUUGCUUGGGAUCACAUUGAAAUCCCAGGUAGGCACAGGCAAGUAAUCCACUUGCAUAUAAGGAGAGUUGCAGUUACAGCAAGAACUUUUUUUCCUAUUCAAUUUGGGUCUCACAGACCACAGAAAAAGCAAGAACCAGGUGUCAUUGUGGU